GAUGAAGAACGCAGCGAAAUGCGAUAAGUAAUGUGAAUUGCAGAAUUCCAGUGAGUCAUCGAAUCUUUGAACGCACAUUGCGCCCUUUGGUAUUCCGAAGGGCAUGCCUGUUCGAGCGUCAUUAUCACCCCUCAAGCCCUCGGCUUGGUGUUGGACGGUUUGGUGGAGGCCCCCUCGGGGGCUCCUGCCCCUCCCAAAGACAAUGACGGCGGCCUCGUUGGACCCCCGGUACACUGAGUUCUUCACGGGACACGUAUCGGACACAUGGGUUUACGGGACACGGUCUGCCUCCCCUCAGGGAGAAUCUUUCUAAGGUUGACCUCGGAUCAGGUAGGGAUACCCGCUGAACUUAAGCAUAUCAAUAAGCGGAGGA
rnacentral:misc_RNA from 1 species